AGAGUUUGAUCAUGGCUCAGGACGACGCUGGCGGCGUGCUUAACACAUGCAAGUCGAACGGUAAGGCCCUUCGGGGUACACGAGUGGCGAACGGGUGAGUAACACGUGGGUGAUCUGCCCUGCACUUCGGGAUAAGCCUGGGAAACUGGGUCUAAUACCGGAUAGGACCAUGGACUUCACGGUUUGUGGUGGAAAGCUUUUGCGGUGUGGGAUGGGCCCGCGGCCUAUCAGCUUGUUGGUGGGGUAAUGGCCUACCAAGGCGACGACGGGUAGCCGGCCUGAGAGGGUGUCCGGCCACACUGGGACUGAGAUACGGCCCAGACUCCUACGGGAGGCAGCAGUGGGGAAUAUUGCACAAUGGGCGCAAGCCUGAUGCAGCGACGCCGCGUGAGGGAUGACGGCCUUCGGGUUGUAAACCUCUUUCAAUAGGGACGAAGCGCAAGUGACGGUACCUAUAGAAGAAGCACCGGCCAACUACGUG
rnacentral:rRNA from 1 species